rnacentral:snoRNA from 1 species
UCCUUCCAGACACCUUAUCCCUCAAACCUAUAUAUUGGUCUGAAUGGCUAUAAAAACAAAAGGGAGGAAAAGUAAAAUUGAAAUGGACUUGGAGUCUUUAGUGACAAGUUCAUUUCAAACAAAC